GACUCUGUAGUUCAGUUGGUUAGACCGCUGCACUGGAAUCGCAGGAUCACAGGUUUGAUUCCUGUCAGAGGGU
rnacentral:tRNA from 1 species